rnacentral:tRNA from 1 species
ACCUGGGUGGCUCUGUCAGUAGAGCAUAAGACUCUUGAUCUCAGGGUCGUGAGUUCAAGCCCCAUGUUGGGUG